UACGUAGGGCGCAAGCGUUGUCCGGAAUUAUUGGGCGUAAAGAGCUCGUAGGCGGCUUGUUGCGUCGGUUGUGAAAGCCCGGGGCUUAACCCCGGGUCUGCAGUCGAUACGGGCAGGCUAGAGUGCGGUAGGGGAGAUUGGAAUUCCUGGUGUAGCGGUGGAAUGCGCAGAUAUCAGGAGGAACACCGAUGGCGAAGGCAGAUCUCUGGGCCGUAACUGACGCUGAGGAGCGAAAGCAUGGGGAGCGAACAGG
rnacentral:rRNA from 1 species